AACGAACGCUGGCGGCGUGCUUAACACAUGCAAGUCGAACGAGAAAGCGACUUCGGUCGUGAGUAGAGUGGCGCACGGGUGAGUAAUACAUAGGAACGUACCAAGUGGUGUGGAAUAACCACGGGAAACCGUGGCUAAUACCGCAUGUGAUCGCGAGAAGAAAGAGGGCCUCUCCUUGGAAGCUCUCGCCACUUGAUCGGCCUAUGUCCCAUUAGCUUGUUGGUAGGGUAAAGGCCUACCAAGGCAGUGAUGGGUAGCUGGUUUGAGAGGAUGAUCAGCCACACUGGAACUGAGACACGGUCCAG
rnacentral:rRNA from 1 species